UCUGGAGCUAACCGUGCUGCUGUGCUGGACAGGCAGACGAGGGCCGGCCUGUUGCCGAUACAAGCCGUCGAGGUGGACGGCCAGCGCUAAAUCAUUUGCAGGUGCACGAUGAUGACCGCAUCUGUUUUGUUACUACGUUCCUAUUAGUUUUUAAUCAGCAGGCUAGGAAUGGUUUCCCCAUCCAACUAAGCUAUCAUUAUAGUAGUGGUGAAACUAUUACUUGAUAAUGCGUAGAGUAAAAAAACAAUGAUAGACAUUUUGUUGUUCCCCAUCUCAAAUGCCGAUUUUGUUUAAUGAUGCUGAGAUGAUUCAACUUUGGAGAUUUUGACACAGUUUCUGUUGGCCCAAACUGUGCACGCCGAGUACUUUCCGGCGACACGUAAACGACCGACGACGAACGACGACAAAGAACUUGCCGACAGUCUUGGUUCCUGCCCCAAGUGGCCGAAGCAAAAUACACCUACGUAUCACGGCUGAUCGUAAACGAUCUACUAAUAGCCACGCACGCACACAACGGCCAGCACGGCCGGAAACACAAACGCACGCACGCGAGACGCCGGCGUAUUGCCAAAGGCUCGUAUCGAGCCUUGUGUAUGCUUUAUUGCUUCAACUCAAGGUACAAGUUACAGGUCUGUUUGCACCCAUAUAAAUAGUAGUACCAAGCUAGCUAGCUACGAGAGGAAAAACUACCGGAAGCUAAUUCCAAUACUACUCGGAGACAAGCUCUAGCACUACACGGAUACAUGUAUGCACACCAACCUGGACACGUACCAUUAUGGGAGGCUUUUGUCGUGUUUAAUUCCAACAAUCACCCCCCUAAACACGACGUCGUCACGUCACUGCAUCGAUGCCGAUUCUUCUUCGCAUCUUCAGGAUCUUCUCUCGAUCCAAAGCUUUAGUCAGGAUGUCCGCCAGCUGAUCAUCGGUGCAAACAUAGUUGACCUUCGUCAUACCUUCCUUGUACAUCGCAUGCUCUAGUGGAGCUUUCUCAAAUCCAAGAGAAAUCAUCGUUCGAUCAAGUUUGAUGCUCCAUGCCCGAGAGCCUUGGCGUAGCCCGAACAAGACUUUGUGUAGCUCCAGUACUUUGUGUUCUUCUCCCUCUUUGAUGAAUCCUGGUGGUUGGCUCACAUAAACGUCUCCUUCUAACUCUCUGUUCAGAAACGCGGAUUGUACAUCCAUGUGAUGUAUCUUUCAUGAUUCCUGAACCGCGAGAGCGAUGAGUAAUCUCACUGAUUCCAUCCUUUCAAUGGGAACGAACACUUCUUCGAAGUCAACACCUUUCUCUUGCACAUACUCUUUGACUACUAGCCUUGCUUUGUGCUUCACGGACCCUUCGACAUCUCUCUUGAUCGUAAAUUCCCACUUGAGAUCCAUGGCUUUUUCAUUGUUGGGAAGAUCCACAAGCUCCCAUGCAUUAUUGUCGUGGAUCGACCUCAACUCCUCUUUCAUAGCCUGACGCCAACACCACUUCGUAUUCGCGUCCUCAAAAUCUGUCGGUUCCUCGGAGUUUGCUAGACACCGCCACCCACUCCCUUUCACUUUUACCGGGUCAAUCGUCCGAAGAGGUUCCUCCGGAUAUAUGUUGAUCACCGGGCUUAGAUGGUCGGUUGUAGGUAGACGUGUCUUUUCUUCCUCCACAGGCACUAGCAUUACCUUGUUGUUCCUGUCUCCUUGUGAUGCAAUGGCUGAACGUGGCAAAAUUGCAGGUAAGAUCCCUCCCGGACUGCACACUAGUGUUGGGGAACGUAGUAAUUUCAAAAAAUUUCCUACGCACACGCAAGAUCAUGGUGAUGCAUAGCAACGAGAGGGGAGAGUGUUGUCUACAUACCCUUGUAGACCGAAGCGGAAGCGAUCACAACGUAGAGGAAGUAGUCGUACGUUCUCCUCGCGAUCCGACCGAUCCCAGCGCCGUUACUCCGGCGCCUCCGAGUUCUUGACACACAUACAGCUCGGUGACGCUCCUCGGGUUCCGAUCCAGCAAAGCUCCGGGGAGAGAGUUCCGUCAGCACGACGGCGUGGUGACGAUCUUGAUGUUCUACUAUCGCAGGGCUUCGCCUAAGCGCUGCAACAAUACGACCGAGGUGGAAUAUGGUGGAGGGGGGCACCGCACACGGCUAAGGAACGAUCUCAAGGAUCAACUUGUGUCUCUAGAGGUGCCCCCUGCCCCCGUAUAUAAAGGAUCAAGGGGGAGGGGGCGGCCGGCCUUGUUUGGGCGCGCCAAGGGGAGUCCUACUCCCACCGGGAGUAGGAUUCCACCUUUCCUAGUCCAACUAGUUCAAGGGGGGAAAGAGGGGAAGAGGGGAAGGAAGGGAGAGAGGGGCCGCGCCCCAAAUCCCUUGUCCAAUUCGGACUGGACUUGGGAGGGGCGCGCGCCACCUCCUGGUCCUUCCCACUAAGGCCCAUCAAGGCCCAUUGCUUCUUCCUCGUAUUCCCGUAACUCCCCGGUACCUCCGAAAAUACCCGAAUCACUCAGAACCUUUCCGAUGUCCGAAUAUAGUCGUCCAAUAUACCGAUCUUUACGUCUCGACCAUUUCGAGACUCCUCGUCAUGUCCCCGAUCUCAUCCGGGACUCCGAACUCCUUCGGUACAUCAAAAUACAUAAACUCAUAAUAUAACCGUCAUCGAAACCUUAAGCGUGCGGACCCUACGGUUCGAGAGCAAUGUAGACAUGACCGAGACACGUCUCCGGUCAAUAACCAAUAGCGGGACCUGGAUGCCCAUAUUGGCUCCUACAUAUUCUACGAAGAUCUUUAUCGGUCAGACCGCAAAACAACAUACGUUGUUCCCUUUGUCAUCGGUAUGUUACUUGCCCGAGAUUCGAUCGUCGGUAUCCAAUACCUAGUUCAAUCUCGUUACCGGCAAGUCUCUUUACUCGUUCUGUAAUACAUCAUCUCACAACUAAAAUAUUAGUUGCAAUGCUUGCAAGGCUUAUAUGAUGUGCAUUACCGAGAGGGCCCAGAGAUACCUCUCCGACAAUCGGAGUGACAAAUCCUAAUCUCGAAAUACGCCAACCCAACAUCUACCUUUGGAGACACAUGUAAUGCUCCUUUAUAAUCACCUAGUUACGUUGUGACGUUUGGUAGCACCCAAAGUGUUCCUCCGGCAAACGGGAGUUGCAUAAUCUCAUAGUUAAAGGAACAUGUAUAAGUCAUGAAGAAAGCAAUAGCAACAUACUAAACGAUCGAGUGCUAAGCUAACGGAAUAGGUCAUGUCAAUCAGAUCAUUCAACUAAUGAUGUGACCCCGUUAAUCAAAUAACAACUCUUUGUCCAUGGUUAGGAAACAUAACCAUCUUUGAUUAACGAGCUAGUCAAGUAGAGGCAUACUAGUGACACUCUAUUUGUUUAUGUAUUCACACAUGUAUUAUGUUUCCGGUUAAUACAAUUCUAGCAUGAAUAAUAAACAUUUAUCAUGAAAUAAGGAAAUAAAUAAUAACUUUAUUAUUGCCUCUAGGGCAUAUUUCCUUCAGUCUCCCACUUGCACUAGAGUCAAUAAUCUAGAUCACAUCACCAUGUGAUUAACAUCGAUAGUUCACAUCAUCAUGUGAUUAACACCCAUAGUUCACAUCGCCAUGUGACCAACACCCAAAGGGUUUACUAGAUUCAAUAAUCUAGUUCACAUCGCUAUGUGAUUAACACCCAAAGUGUACUAAGGUGUGAUCAUGUUUUGCUUGUGAGAGAAUCUUAUUCUACGGGUCUGCCACAUUCAGAUCCGUUAGUAUUUUGCAAAUUUCUAUGUCUACAAUGCUCUGCACGGAGCUACUUUAGCUAAUUGCUCCCAUUUUCAAUAUGUAUCUAGAUUGAGACUUAGAGUCAUCUAGAUUAGUGUCAAAACUUGCAUCGACGUAACCUUUUACGACGAACCUUUUUGUCACGUCCAUAAUCGAGAAACAUAUCCUUAUUCCACUAAGGAUAAUUUUGACCGCUGUCCGGUGAUCUACUCCUAGAUCACUAUUGUAUUCCCAUGCCAAAAUUAGUGCAGGGUAUACAAUAGAUCUGGUACACAGCAUGACAUACUUUAUAGAACCUAUGGCCAAAGCAUAGGGAAUGACUUUCAUUCUCUUUCUAUCUUUUGCCGUGGUCGGGUUUUGAGUCUUACUCAAUUUUUACACCUUGUAACACAGUCAAGAACUCUUUCUUUGACUGUUCCAUUUUGAACUACUUCAAAAUCUUGUCAAGGUAUGUACUUAUUGAAAAAACUUAUCAAGCGUCUUGAUCUAUCUCUAUAGAUCUUGAUGCUCAAUAUGUAAGCAGCUUCACCGAAGUCUUUCUUUGAAAAACUCCUUUCAAACACUCCUUAUUGCUUUACAGAAUAAUUCUACAUUAUUUCCGAUCAACAAUAUGUCAUUCACAUAUACUUAUCAGAAAUGUUGUAGUGCUCCCACUCACUUUCUUGUAAAUACAGGCUUCAUCGCAAGUCUGUAUAAAACUAUAUGCUUUGAUCAACUUAUCAAAGCGUGUAUUCCAACUCCGAGAUGCUUGCACCAGUCCAUAGAUGGAUCGCUGGAGCUUGCAUAUUUUGUUAGCACCUUUAGGAUUGAUAAAACCUUCUGGUUGCAUCAUAUACAACUCUUCUUUAAUAAAUCCAUUAAGGAUUGCAGUUUUGUUAUCCAUUUGCCAGAUUUCAUAAAAUGCGGCAUUUGCUAACAUGAUCCGGACAGACUUAAGCAUAGAUACGAGUGAGAAACUCUCAUCGUAGUCAACACCUUGAACUUGUCGAAAACCUUUUGCGACAAUUCUAGCUUUGUACAUAGUAACACUACUAUCAUCGUCUGUCUUCCUCUUGAAGAUCCAUUUAAUCUUAAUUGCUUGCCGAUCAUCGAGCAAGUCAACCAAAGUCCACACUUUGUUCUUAUACAUGGAUCCCAUCUCAGAUUUCAUGGCUUCAAACCAUUUCGCGGAAUCUGGGCUCACCAUCGCUUCUUCAUAGUUCGUAGGUUCGUCAUGGUCAAGUAACAUGACCUCCAGAACAGGAUUACCGUACCACUCUCGUGCGGAUCUCACUCUGGUUUACCUACGAGGUUCAGUAGUAACUUGAUCUGAAGUUACAUGAUCAUCAUCAUUAGCUUCCUCACUAAUUGGUGUAGUAGUCACAAGAAGAGAUUUCUGUGAUGAACUACUUUCCACUAAGGGAGAAGGUACAAUUACCUUAUCAAGUUUUCUACUUUCCUCCCACUCACUUCUUUCGAGAGAAACUCCUUCUCUGGAAAGGAUCCAUUCUCAGCAACGAAAGUCUUGCCUUCGGAUCUGUGAUAGAAGGUGUACCCAACAAUCUCCUUUGGGUAUCCUAUGAAGACGCAUUUCUCCGAUUUGGUUCGAGCUUAUCAUGAUGAAACCUUUUCACAUAAGCAUCGCAACUCCAAACUUUAAGAAACAACAACUUUGGUUUCUUGCCAAACCACAGUUCAUACGGUGUUGUCUCAACAGAUUUAGAUGGUGCCCUUUUAACGUGAAUGCAGCUGUCUUUAAUGCAUAACCCCAAAAACGAUAGUGGUAGAUCGGUAAGAGACAUCAUAGAUAGUACUAUAUCCAAUAAAGUACGGUUAUGACGUUCGGACUCACCAUUAUGCUGUGGUGUUCCAGGUGGCAUGAGUUUGUGAAACUAUUCCACAUUGUUUUAAUUGAAGACCAAACUCGUAACUCAAAUAUUUGUCUCCGCGAUCAGAUCGUAGAAACCUUAUUUUCUUGUCACGAUGAUUUUCCACUUCACUCUGAAAUUCUUUGAACUUUUCAAAUGUUUCAGACUUAUGUUUCAUCAAGUAGAUAUACCCUUAUCUGCUCAAAUCGUCUGUGAAGGUCAGAAAAUAAUGAUACUUGUCGCGAGCCUUAAUAUUCAUCGGACCACAUACAUCAGUAUGUAUGAUUUCCAACAAAUCUGUUGCUCGCUCUAUUGUUCCGGAGAACGGAGUCUUAGUCAUCUUGCCCAUGAGGCAUGGUUCGCAAGCAUCAAGUGAUUCAUAAUCAAGUGAUUCCAAAAUUCCAUCAGCAUGGAGUUUCUUCAUGCGCUUUACACCAAUAUGACCUAAACGGCAGUGCCACAAACAAGUUGCACUAUCAUUAUUAACUUUGCAUCUUUUGGCUUCAAUAUUAUGAAUAUGUGUAUCAUUACGAUCGAGAUCCAACAAACCAUUUUCGUUGGUGUGUAUGACCAUAGAAGGUUUUAUUCAUGUAAACAGAACAACAAUUGUUUUCUAACUUAAAUGAAUAACCGUAUUGCAAUAAACAUGAUCAAAUCAUAUUCAUGCUUAACGCAAACACCAAAUAACACUUAUUUAGGUUCAACACUAAUCCCGAAAGUAUAGGGGGUCUGCGAUGAUGAUCAUAUCAAUCUUUGGAACCACUUCCAACACACAUCGUCACUUCACCCUUAACUAGUCUCUGUUUAUUCUGCAACUCCCGUUUCGAGUUACUACUCUUUAGCAACUGAACUAGCAUCAAAUACUGAGGGGUUGCUAUAAACACUAGUAAAGUACACAUUAAUAACAUAUAUAUCAAAUAUACUUAUGUUCACUUUGCCAUCCUUCUUAUCCGCCAAUCACUUGGGGUGGUUCCGCUUCCAGUGACCAGUCCCUUUGCAGUAGAAGCACUUAGUCUCAUGCUUAGGACCAGACUUGGGCUUCUUCACUUGAGCAGCAACUUGCUUGCCGUUCUUCUUGAAGUUCCCCUUCUUCCCUUUGCCCUUUUCUUGAAACUAGUGGUCUUGUCAACCAUCAACACUUGAUGUUUUUCCUGAUUUCUACCUUCGUUGAUUUCAUCAUCACGAAGAGCUUGGGAGUUGUUUCCGUUAUCCCUUGCAUAUUAUAGUUCAUCACGAACUUCUAACUUGGUGAUGGUGACUAGAGAAUUCUGUCAAUCACUAUCUUAUCUGGAAGAUUAACUCCCACUUGAUUCAAGCGAUUAUAGUACCCAGACAAUCUGAGCACAUGCUCACUAGUUGAGCGAUUCUCCUCCAUCUUUUAGCUAUAGAACUUGUUGGAGACUUCAUAUCUCUCAACUCGGGUAUUUGCUUGAAAUAUUAACUUCAACUCCUGGAACAUCUCAUAUGGUCCAUGACGUUCAAAACGUCUUUGAAGUCCCGAUUCUAAGCCGUUAAGCAUGGUGCACUUAAACUAUCAAGUAGUCAUCAUAUUGAGCUAGCCAAACAUUCAUAACGUCUGCAUCUGCUCCUGCAAUAGGUCUGUCACCUAGCGGUGCAUCAAGGACAUAGUUCUUCUGUGCAGCAAUGAGGAUAAACCUCAGAUCACGGAUCCAAUCCGCAUCAUUGCUACUAACAUCUUUCAACAUAAUUUUCUCUAGGAACAUAUCAAAAUAAACACAGGGAGGCAGCAACACGAGCUAUUGAUCUACAACAUAAUUUGCAAAAUACUACCAGGACUAAGUUCAUGAUAAAUUAAAGUUCAAUUAAUCAUAUUACUUAAGAACUCCCACUUAGAUGGACAUCCCUCUAAUCCUCUAAGUGAUCACGUGAUCCAAAUCAACUAAACCAUAACCGAUCAUCACGUGAAAUGGAUUAGUCUUCAAUGGUGAACAUCAUUAUGUUGAUCAUAUCUACUAUAUGAUUCACGCUCGACCUUUCGGUCUCCGUGUUCCGAGGCCAUAUCUGCAUAUGCUAGGCUCGUCAAGUAUAACCCGAGUAUUCCGCGUGUGCAAAACUGGCUUGCACCCGUUGUAGAUGGACGUAGAGCUUAUCACACCCGAUCAUCACGUGGUGUCUGGGCACGACGAACUUUGGCAACGGUGCAUACUCGGGGAGAACACUUCUUGAUAAUUUAGUGAGAGAUCAUCUUAUAAUGCUACCGUCAAUCAAAGCAAGAUAAGAUGCAUAAAAGAUAAACAUCACAUGCAAAUCAAUAUAAGUGAUAUGAUAUGGUCAUCAUCAUCUUGUGCUUCGUGAUCUCCAUCUCUGCAGCACCAUCAUGAUCACCAUCGUCACCGGCGCGACACCUUGAUCUCCAUCGUAGCAUCGUUGUCGUCUCGCCAAUCUUAUGCUUCUACGACUAUCGCUACCGCUUAGUGAUAAAGUAAAGCAUUACAGGGCGAUUGCAUUGCAUACAAUAAAGCGACGACCAUAUGGCUCCUGCCAGUUGCCGAUAACUCGGUUACAAAACAUGAUCAUCUCAUACAAUAAAAUUUAGCAUCAUGUCUUGACCAUAUCACAUCACAACAUGCCCUGCGAAAACAAGUUAGACGUCCUCUACUUUGUUUGUUGCAAGUUUUACGUGGCUGCUACGGGCUUAAGCAAGAACUCAUCUUACCUACGCAUCAAAACCACAACGAUAGUUUGUCAAAUAGACUCCGUUUUAACCUUCUCAAGGACCGGGCGUAGCCACACUUGAUUCAACUAAAGUUGGUGAGAUGUCUCCCGCAAGCCAUCUGUGUGCAAAGCACGUCGAGGGAACCGGUCUCGCGUAAGCGUACGCGUAAGGUUGGUCCGGGUCAUCUCAUCCAACAAUACUGCUGAACCAAAGUAUGACAUGCUGGUAGGCAGUAUGACUUGUAUCGUCCACAACUCACUUGUGUUCUACUCGUGCAUAUAACAUCAAACCAUAAAAACCUAGGCUCGGAUGCCACUGUUGGGGAACGUAGUAAUUUCAAAAAAUUUCCUACGCACACGCAAGAUCAUGGUGAUGCAUAGCAACGAGAGGGGAGAGUGUUGUCUACAUACCCUUGUAGACCGAAGCGGAAGCGAUCAUAACGUAGAGGAAGUAGUCGUACGUUCUCCUCGCGAUCCGACCGAUCCCAGCGCCGUUACUCCGGCGCCUCCGAGUUCUUGACACACAUACAGCUCGGUGACGCUCCUCGGGUUCCGAUCCAGCAAAGCUCCGGGGAGAGAGUUCCGUCAGCACGACGGCGUGGUGACGAUCUUGAUGUUCUACUAUCGCAGGGCUUCGCCUAAGCGCUGCAACAAUACGACCGAGAUGGAAUAUGGUGGAGGGGGGCACCGCACACGGCUAAGGAACGAUCUCAAGGAUCAAAUUGUGUCUCUAGAGGUGCCCCCCUGCCCCCGUAUAUAAAGGAUCAAGGGGGAGGGGGCGGCCGGCCUUGUUUGGGCGCGCCAAGGGGAGUCCUACUCCCACCGGGAGUAGGAUUCCACCUUUCCUAGUCCAACUAGGUCAAGGGGGGAAAGAGGGGAAGAGGGGAAGGAAGGGAGAGAGGGGCCGCGCCCCAAAUCCCUUGUCCAAUUCGGACUGGACUUGGGAGGGGCGCGCGCCACCUCCUGGUCCUUCCCACUAAGGCCCAUCAAGGCCCAUUGCUUCUUCCUCGUAUUCCCGUAACUCCCCGGUACCUCCGAAAAUACCCGAAUCACUCAGAACCUUUCCGAUGUCCGAAUAUAGUCGUCCAAUAUACCGAUCUUUACGUCUCGACCAUUUCGAGACUCCUCGUCAUGUCCCCGAUCUCAUCCGGGACUACGAACUCCUUCGGUACAUCAAAAUACAUAAACUCAUAAUAUAAUCGUCAUCGAAACCUUAAGCGUGCGGACCCUACGGUUCGAGAACAAUGUAGACAUGACCGAGACACGUCUCCGGUCAAUAACUAAUAGCGGGACCUGGAUGCCCAUAUUGGCUCCUACAUAUUCUACGAAGAUCUUUAUCGGUCAGACCGCAAAACAACAUACGUUGUUCCCUUUGUCAUCGGUAUGUUACUUGCCCGAGAUUCGAUCGUAGGUAUCCAAUACCUAGUUCAAUCUCGUUACCGGCAAGUCUCUUUACUCGUUCUGUAAUACAUCAUCUCACAACUAAAAUAUUAGUUGCAAUGCUUGCAAGGCUUAUAUGAUGUGCAUUACCGAGAGGGCCCAGAGAUACCUCUCCGACAAUCGGAGUGACAAAUCCUAAUCUCGAAAUACGCCAACCCAACAUCUACCUUUGGAGACACAUGUAAUGCUCCUUUAUAAUCACCCAGUUACGUUGUGACGUUUGGUAGCACCCCAAGUGUUCCUCCGGCAAACGGGAGUUGCAUAAUCUCAUAGUCAAAGGAACAUGUAUAAGUCAUGAAGAAAGCAAUAGCAACAUACUAAACGAUCGAGUGCUAAGCUAACGGAAUGGGUCAUGUCAAUCAGAUCAUUCAACUAAUGAUGUGACCCCGUUAAUCAAAUAACAACUCUUUGUCCAUGGUUAGGAAACAUAACCAUCUUUGAUUAACGAGCUAGUCAAGUAGAGGCAUACUAGUGACACUCUAUUUGUUUAUGUACUCACACAUGUAUUAUGUUUCCGGUUAAUACAAUUCUAGCAUGAAUAAUAAACAUUUAUCAUGAAAUAAGGAAAUAAAUAAUAACUUUAUUAUUGCCUCUAGGGCAUAUUUCCUUCAACUAGACCAACAGAAGCAUACGUUGCCACCUUCCUUGAUGUAGGGUGAUUCCCGGAUUGAGCAUAUGGGCCUUGCCCUCCUGGAUGGCCUCCUCCGGUGAUCCAUGGCCUAUGUGGCCUGCUGUCCAAGCCACCACCCAGUCCAGCCGAUGGGCCUAGCCCACCUAUGCCGCCUCGUUCCAGGAAUCCAUUACUUGCUGCCGGCACGUCAUUGCUAAGUGCGGCUGCCUGUUUUUUCCCGUCCGGAGCAGCGCCAACUGCAUACGGUGCAACAUCCCUUGCACUAGAUGAGCCAACGGCAUACAUGCGGAAAGCUUCACUUGCAUCCGCCAAAACACUUGCACUUGUGGCCGCUCUUGCUGCACUCGCGAUCACCUUUGCACACACAUCAACUAUAGUUGCAUCACUUUUGUCUCUUAUUUCUUCUUGGACUUCCGGCGCCACGUACGCCUCCAUUAUUUCUAAACGCAUCGCAGGAAGACUGCUUCUCCAUGGUCGAGCACACGCAGCUAUCGCUUCAUCCGCUCCAGCAAAGUUGGCACUUACGUCCAUAGCACUGACGUAAGUUUCGGAAUCACUCCCCGCACCUGUAGCUUCGGCACAGGUUUUCGAACCACGAUCAUGAUGGCAAACUUUUUCUUCCACGAGCGCGACAGUUUCUUUAGCCGGCACUUGAAGAACUGGAUCCUCCUUGUCCACGAGUUCACACAUCAACAUCAUGUCACCUUCAUCUCCUAGCUGAGCCAUGAGCGCCUUCUCCUUCGGGGGAUUCUUACACUCGGACUUGAAGUGUCCGAGCAGAUUACAGUUGUGACAACGGAUCUUCCUCUUGUCGAACUUUUUCUUUCUUGGCUUCUCCGACUGUUCGUCGGUGUCCUUUGCGGGACGGUACUUUCCGCUGCUACCAGACGCCUUGUCGAAAUUGUUCUCCUUGGAAACCAUUGCCUCCCACUGAGCACGUGUUAGCAUCAGGUACUCAUCCUGUUUUGCGUCGCCGUAACUCAGCUUCAUCCGCUCAUCAUGGGCCUUGAAGCGACCAACCAGAUCAUCCAAAGUGAGAGUCUUGAGAUCAACGCAUUGUUCGAUCGCUGACACAAUCGGCAUGUAGCGCGGUGGAGCGGCACGUAGGAAACGCCGGACAACGGAGAUGUCCUCUAGCUUCUCCCCGAGACCGCGAAUCCCGUUUACCAUCGUGGCGACCCUUGCUGCAAAGGCAUCCACCGUCUCAUCUUCUCCCAUCCUCAGAUUCUCGUAACUUUUCAGCAAAGUUUGCAAGUUCGCCUCGCGCACACGCGAGUGCCCUAGAUGCAAUGUCUUGAGCGUGUCACAUGCUUCCUUCGCUGAUUUCUUCGAGAUUAGAUGUUGCUGCACGUCCACCGGCAUCAUCGAGCAGAUGGCCGUGAUAGCCUGGCGAUCCUUCCGAUACAAGGCACCACCCUUCAGGUACUCGUCACCGCCGGGGUCGACGGCUUCCCAGAGCUCAUUGUCCUCGAGCGCCCACUCCAUCAUGGUCGCCCACACCAUGAAGUUCCCACGGUCGAAUCGUGGAUACUCCGAUCUCGCCGGAGCAGCAAUUACUUUAGCCGCACCGGAGUACUCCGCCAGCUGCUUGUUCUUCUCGUCGUCCGCCAUGAUCCUCCGUUACUAGAAGAUCAACCUUGCUCUGGUACCAAUUGUUGGCCCAAACUGUGCACGCCGAGUACUUUCCGGCGACACGUAAACGACCGACGAAGAACGACGACGAAGAACUUGCCGACAGUCUUGGUUCCUGCCCCAAGUGGCCGAAGCAAAAUACACCUACGUAUCACGGCUGAUCGUAAACGAUCUACUAAUAGCCACGCACGCACACAACGGCCAGCACGGCCGGAAACACAAACGCACGCACGCGAGACGCCGGCGUAUUGCCAAAGGCUCGUAUCGAGCCUUGUGUAUGCUUUAUUGUUUCAACUCAAGGUACAAGUUACAGGUCUGUUUGCACCCAUAUAAAUAGUAGUACCAAGCUAGCUAGCUACGAGAGGAAAAACUACCGGAAGCUAAUUCCAAUACUACUCGGAGACAAGCUCUAGCACUACACGGAUACAUGUAUGCACACCAACCUGGACACGUACCAUUAUGGGAGGCUUUUGUCGUGUUUAAUUCCAACAGUUUCUAUACUCAAUGAAUUUUCUGAAUGGAUAGUACAUAUUUUGUUGACCGGUGAUAUUUCUUGCUGUGCAGGUAUCUAGAGUUACAUUCCGGUGGCUGAGAUGCAUAUAGUUGUUGGCUGUAGUUCCGUCCAUUUGUCCGCUCGACGCGGAGAUUGACCCUCUAUGUAGCAUGCAACACUCAGCUGGGAAAUGCACUUAUAGGAACUAAUCACUUACUUUGCUGAACUCAGUCUGUUGUCCAGUUUCCGCAGACAUUUGUCAGCUGGCAAGAAGGUUGAAGGCACAUCGACUUGCUUCGAUUAAUUGGUACUUAAUCUGUCAGUUAAUCUUGCUUGCAUUUUAGUGUGUGCAUACGUUUGAUUAUCUUCCUUGUAUCAAGCAUGAAGAUUCCAAUGCUGGAUUUCUGCCUAUGUUCCUUUAUGUCCCAUUUUGUGGGUACUUUUUUGUUGUUGAAUUUGUACCUCGGUAUUUAGACUCUUAGUUAUGUGUUCUGACUAUUGAAUAUAUUGAUAACCAUAAGUAGUCUGACUGGAGUUGGGAAGGAACUCCUGUAAAUAUUUAGAAGGAGUUGGGUUUUCUAAUAUUUCUAAUUUCAGGUGGUGCGGGCUGGACGACGCUGAAGUAGUCAUCUUCGUCGGCCCCGUCACUGCGUACACAUACUCCUUCAAUUUUUUCCUCCUACUGGUACAUAUUCUUCCCAAGUUCCCGUCCAUUGCUAAUUCUGAAAUUUUGUUUCCUUAAUUCGAAUCUGAAUUUCUUUUUCCUUGAUUGGAUAUCUAACAUUGCAUUCUAAUUAUUUCAUGUUGCUGCUUGCAUCACUUUUGCAGGUGUUGUGAUCUGGAGAAGCUCAAGUAGUCAUCUUCGUCCAUCACGUCACUGCAUACGCAUACGCCUCUGAUUUUUGGCUCCUGGUACAUACUCUUCCCAGGUUCCCCUUGGUGGCUAAUUCUGUAUUUUUUUUGCUUAAUUCAAAUCUGAAUUAAUAAUUCAGAUUUUUUGUUUCCUUGAUUGAAAUCUGAAUUAAAUUUUGCUUCAUUGCUAUGUAACACUGCCUUCUAAUCCGAAAAAUUUGACAGAUAUCACAACACUCAUAUGCUUAUAAAGCACAUGUUUCAUAAUAACUAGAUGAACUACUUACAUGCUCUCCUUUUUAUUGAUUAGUUGGUUUAGCCCCUAAACUAUCUUAUAUUAUCUAAAAGAAGGCAGGCAUAAUUAGUUUUCCUGCAAUUUUUGUUAGUUCUCUGUAUUGUUUUCGUUGAUUUUUUAUCUAUUCUUCUAUAUCCACUCAUACAGUAGCAGUACGUAUGUACAAUAUUUUGGAAUGCAGCUCAAAGGAAUAG
rnacentral:lncRNA from 1 species